UACGAGGGGAGCAAGCGUUGUUCGGAUUUACUGGGCGUAAAGGGCGCGUAGGCGGCGUGACUAGUCACUUGUGAAAUCUCCGGGCUUAACUCGGAACGGUCAAGUGAUACUGUCGUGCUAGAGUACAGAAGGGGCAACUGGAAUUCUCGGUGUAGCGGUGAAAUGCGUAGAUAUCGAGAGGAACACCUGCGGCGAAGGCGGGUUGCUGGGCUGAUACUGACGCUGAUGCGCGAAAGCCAGGGGAGCGACGGG
rnacentral:rRNA from 1 species